UACGUAGGGUGCGAGCGUUGUCCGGAAUUAUUGGGCGUAAAGAGCUUGUAGGCGGUCUGUCGCGUCUGCUGUGAAAAUCCGGGGCUCAACCCCGGACUUGCAGUGGGUACGGGCAGACUAGAGUGUGGUAGGGGAGACUGGAAUUCCUGGUGUAGCGGUGAAAUGCGCAGAUAUCAGGAGGAACACCGAUGGCGAAGGCAGGUCUCUGGGCCAACUACUG
rnacentral:rRNA from 1 species